CUAACAUCUAGCCCCCCUGCCCCCUUUGCCUCCCUAAAGAUAGUAAAAUUGUACUUGUAUUCAAGUCUGAAGCUGCUGCCUCUGCCUGUGAACUUCCUCUGACUUCAGCAGAAGUGGUAGCCUGAUCCAAUCACAAUGCUUCUCCAUAGGAUUGACUGAGACUGACAAGAAGGCAGAUCAGGGACAGAGCCAGCACAAUUCAAACACAGCCCUGGCCAAUCAGCAUCUCCUCAUAGAGAUGAAUUGAAUUAAUGAAUCUCUAUGAGGAAAGUUGUGUCUGCAUGCAGAGGGAGGAGAUACUGAAUGUUUGGGUGCAUUUUAGGCAGCCAUGACCCAGGAAGGAUCUCUAACAGCCAUCUGAGGAGUGGCCAGUGGAGUUAGCACUAAGCUGAAAAGACAGUGUUUACAGCAAAAAGCCU